ACCACACAGGCUCUGCAAAAACACACUCACUUCAGUUGUUUGGAAGCUGGGUGUAUAAACGACUUAAAACCCGGACGCGUGGAGCACAGCUGCCGCUGUCUAGUAAACAGGUCCGCUUGUCGUGGCGUUGGACCGCCAGGGGUGGGAAGGAGGUGGAAGACGGAUGACCGGAGCCUCGACCCCGGCGCACCACCUGCGAAGCCCGGGACAGGAUGAGCACAACGUCCGUAACAGGAUGUAAUUCAGAUUCAAGGCUCAGAUAAUAACACCAUCCUCCUGGACAACAUGGUGGGAAACCUCCGGAAACUGGGCCUCGGCAGCAAUAUCUGUGGCUGGGUCCUGAGCUUCCUGGCAGACAGACCCAAGCUGGUGAAAUCCCAUCCCCAGUGUUCAUCAACAUGGGGACUCCUCAAGGCCGCUAGCUGAGCCCAAGGCUGUACUUCCUCUUUAUUUAUUACUUUAAGAAACUGUAUAAUCAACUUUUUAAACGACUCCAUGGGUGUCAUCACCAAUAAUGAACGUGCUAACAGGAGUGAGGUGGCAGAGCUGCAGGAAGGGUGCCACAGCAUGCAACGGUCUCUCCCUGUAGGCCAUCAUCUUCAUCGAUAGCUAAGUCUGCACAUCUGCAAUAUUACUUCCAUUGUGUGUGACUUGUGAUGCGCUAUUUACUCCACAGUUGGAUGUCUGUUAUCUAUUUGUAUACUAUAAUUCUUUGUACUCUAUGUGGCUGAACAAAUAAGAAUUUUGUUGCACAUGGCCAAUAAAUCAUCUUGAAUCUA